UAACAUGCUCUGUUUGAGGCUGAUGGU
rnacentral:piRNA from 1 species